GACGAACGCUGGCGGCGUGCUUAACACAUGCAAGUCGAACGAUGAUGCCCAGCUUGCUGGGUGGAUUAGUGGCGAACGGGUGAGUAACACGUGAGUAACCUGCCCCUGACUCUGGGAUAAGCGUUGGAAACGACGUCUAAUACUGGAUAUGACUGCCGGCCGCAUGGUCUGGUGGUGGAAAGAUUUUUUGGUUGGGGAUGGACUCGCGGCCUAUCAGCUUGUUGGUGAGGUAAUGGCUCACCAAGGCGACGACGGGUAGCCGGCCUGAGAGGGUGACCGGCCACACUGGGACUGAGACACGGCCCAGACUCCUACGGGAGGCAGCAGUGGGGAAUAUUGCACAAUGGGCGAAAGCCUGAUGCAGCAACGCCGCGUGAGGGAUGACGGCCUUCGGGUUGUAAACCUCUUUUAGUAGGGAAGAAGCGAAAGUGACGGUACCUGCAGAAAAAGCACCGGCUAACUACGUGCCAGCAGCCGCGGUAAUACGUAGGGUGCAAGCGUUGUCCGGAAUUAUUGGGCGUAAGGAGCUCGUAGGCGGUUUGUCGCGUCUGCUGUGAAAUCCCGAGGCUCAACCUCGGGCUUGCAGUGGGUACGGGCAGACUAGAGUGCGGUAGGGGAGAUUGGAAUUCCUGGUGUAGCGGUGGAAUGCGCAGAUAUCAGGAGGAACACCGAUGGCGAAGGCAGAUCUCUGGGCCGUAACUGACGCUGAGGAGCGAAAGCAUGGGGAGCGAACAGGAUUAGAUACCCUGGUAGUCCAUGCCGUAAACGUUGGGCGCUAGAUGUAGGGACCUUUCCACGGUUUCUGUGUCGUAGCUAACGCAUUAAGCGCCCCGCCUGGGGAGUACGGCCGCAAGGCUAAAACUCAAAGGAAUUGACGGGGGCCCGCACAAGCGGCGGAGCAUGCGGAUUAAUUCGAUGCAACGCGAAGAACCUUACCAAGGCUUGACAUACACCGGAAACGGCCAGAGAUGGUCGCCCCCUUGUGGUCGGUGUACAGGUGGUGCAUGGUUGUCGUCAGCUCGUGUCGUGAGAUGUUGGGUUAAGUCCCGCAACGAGCGCAACCCUCGUUCUAUGUUGCCAGCGCGUUAUGGCGGGGACUCAUAGGAGACUGCCGGGGUCAACUCGGAGGAAGGUGGAGAUGACGUCAAAUCAUCAUGCCCCUUAUGUCUUGGGCUUCACGCAUGCUACAAUGGCCGGUACAAAGGGCUGCGAUACCGUAAGGUGGAGCGAAUCCCAAAAAGCCGGUCUCAGUUCGGAUUGAGGUCUGCAACUCGACCUCAUGAAGUCGGAGUCGCUAGUAAUCGCAGAUCAGCAACGCUGCGGUGAAUACGUUCCCGGGCCU
rnacentral:rRNA from 1 species